rnacentral:lncRNA from 1 species
UCCAGAAUGGAAAACCUGUGAGGUAUUAUCAUCAAAGCAGCAAUUUUUCAAUCCCCAAAGCCAACCACAGUCACAGUGGGAACUACUAUUGCAAAGCAUAUCUAGGAAGGACAAUGCACGUGUCCAAGCCUGUCACCAUCACUGUCCAAGAGCCCAAAUCCAGCAGUUCGUUGCCGGUAUUGACGAUUGUAGCUGCUGUCGCUGGAAUUGCUGUAGCUGCCAUUGUUAUUAUCCUGGUAUCCUUGGUCUAUCUCAAGAAAAAGCAGGUUCCAGGUUGGUGGUUCUCUUUGGUCACUUUUAUUAUCAGUUCCUACUUAGCUGGGGCUAGCUAGUGGUUAGAGACUCAUUUGCUUUUGAUAUUGUCCUACCCUAUUCAUUUGUCUGCUUACAAACUCAUGUGAUAAACAUGACUUGAACAAACUCGAUGAUGUGCCAUGAACUGUGCUAGACCCUGAAGGUGUCUGGUUCCGUUUCUACCCCUAGCUCUUAGCACUGUGGGGAAUACCAGACACACCAGUGGAUACUUAUAAGAAGGGAUUAGAGCAACGAAAUGAUAAAGACAUGGCUGUUAUCUGGAGGUUGGAGCACAUUUCUCUCAUCCCAGGACAAUAAAGCAAAAGAGCUAAAGUCUGGAGCCAGGGUCAGUGAGAUGGUCCAGCCAGUGCAAAUGCUUACAGUACAAGCCCUGUGAUCUUAAUUCAACCUCUGGUAUCCAAGUUAAGGUGGAGAGAACUGAUCCUACAAAAGUAUCCUCUGGGGGUUGGGGAUUUAGCUCAGUGGUAGAGCGCUUGCCUAGCAAGCGCAAGGCCCUGGGUUCGGUCCCCAGCUCCG